UUUAAUCGAAGAGGUCGCAGUCGACAAAAGUAAAAUAACCGAGUUAUCACAUAUUGGCUAUGAGGUUAUUUGAAAGGGGAGAUUGCCGAAGAAAGAAUUUUAUAUGUGAUUUUUCUUUCUGGGGCUUAGCUUAAUAGGCUAUGAACUGUCAUAAGUAUGAAAGCUUAUGGGGCGCUAUCGACAAAA
rnacentral:ncRNA from 2 species